rfam:Acidobacteria bacterium 13_1_40CM_56_16 13_1_40cm_scaffold_2919, whole genome shotgun sequence.
GACAAUUCACCGUACUCCGGCGAGGGAAAGCGGUUCAAAUCCGCUACUGCCCCGCAACUGUGAGACGACACUCCUUGCACGAGCCACUGCCAGAUUGGCGGGAAGGCGAACUUCGAAUUCGGUCGUCAAGUCAGGACACCUCCCGGGGGAAUAACCUUUCG